GGGUCGGUGCAGCCGUGGGUGGGGUCAGCACAACUGGGGCGGGCGCCGCAGCCGGGGGCGGAGUGGCAACUGGAACUGGUGCCGGUGGUGGAGUCGCAACUGGGGGCGGUACCGUCGGUGGGGUCGCGGGCGCCACAACUGGAGGAGGGACGGACGGAGGAGGAGCCGCAACCGGGGCCGGUACGGUUGGUGGCGGUGGUACGGUCGCUGCUGGCCCUGCCGCGCUUCCAGAGGGAGCUCCCGCCGGAGUCGCCAGGAUGAUGUUUAGUCCCUUGCCUGGAUGAACUGCCACAAAGAACCAGAAGAACGAAAAGAAUCUCAGUAAAGAUCGACCAGAAUCUCUGUUCUGUCGCUCGAAUCAUCGCCCUCUGCUCUAGAUCUAGAUCAAACUAGCGCUAGGAAACUUACCCAC
rnacentral:lncRNA from 1 species